rnacentral:lncRNA from 1 species
GUUCUUUAGCAGCAUUUUCCUCUCAAGCACUGGUGCAACGUGAUGGAAAAUCAGCAGAGAAUGGCUGGGCGUGCACAGGACUGACUGCUGGAGGAAUGGUUGUGUAGGGACUGCAUGCUGCCUUCAGCUGUGUGAAGCAGGAAGAAAGAAAUAUACAGACAAGAACCUUCUUGGCAUCUUUGCUAUCUGUUUUGUUGGUGCGCAGUGGAACACCUGGAUGGAGGGUUUGUUUUGCAGGAGGAGGAGGAUGACAAAUGAGAACAGCCUGCUGCAGGGGUUCUGUGAGGUGGGAGGCUUUCUGAUGUGGUUCUGGUGUUACUGAGGAAUGCAAUG